GGGGAAUAUUGCGCAAUGGGCGAAAGCCUGACGCAGCGACGCCUCGUGAGGGAUGAAGGUCUUCGGAUCGUAAACCUCUGUCAAGAGGGAAGAAACCCUUGGAUUCGAAUAGGGUCCUUGGCUGACGGUACCUCAAAAGGAAGCACCGGCUAACUCCGUGCCAGCAGCCGCGGUAAUACGGAGGGUGCAAGCGUUAAUCGGAAUCACUGGGCGUAAAGCGCUCGUAGGCUGUUCGGUCAGUCAGAUGUGAAAGCCCUCGGCUUAACCGGGGAACUGCAUUUGAUACUGCCAGACUUGAGUGUCGGAGAGGGUGGCGGAAUUCCGGGUGUAGGAGUGAAAUCCGUAGAUAUCCGGAGGAACACCAGUGGCGAAGGCGGCCACCUGGACGACAACUGACGCUGAGGAGCGAAAGCGUGGGGAGCAAAC
rnacentral:rRNA from 1 species